rnacentral:rRNA from 1 species
UACGUAGGGUGCGAGCGUUGUCCGGAAUUAUUGGGCGUAAAGGGCUCGUAGGCGGUUUGUCGCGUCGGGAGUGAAAACGCCGGGCUUAACUCGGUGCUUGCUUUCGAUACGGGCAGACUAGAGGCAUGCAGGGGAGAACGGAAUUCCUGGUGUAGCGGUGAAAUGCGCAGAUAUCAGGAGGAACACCGGUGGCGAAGGCGGUUCUCUGGGCAUGAUCUGACGCUGAGGAGCGAAAGUGUGGGGAGCGAACAGG